UCGAUUUCACGCAACCAACCUUACCCUCGUCCCCAACACAAUCCUUGAUUUUACCCCUGGGAAAAUUAGCAUGAGGCCACACUGCAAAAGGGGUCCUGGAGUUUGCUGAAGGAUCUGAAACGCAUCACAGACAGUGAUGUAAAAGGCGAUCUCUUCGUGAAGGAGCUAUUUUGGAUGUUGCACUUGCAAAAGGAAACCUUUGCCACCUAUGUUGCUCGAUU
rnacentral:lncRNA from 1 species